CGGUGUUUAACUGGCGUGAUGCGGGACGUCCUACCGGUGGGCUUAGCCUCGCGAGGGGCGGCCCAACUAAUAUCCCGUCGCGGUGCUCUUUACUGAGUGUCGAGUCGGGCCGGUACGUUUACUUUGAACAAAUUAGAGUGCUUAAAGCAGGCUAUCCUCGCCUGAAUACUGCGUGCAUGGAAUAAUGGAAUAGGACCUCGGUUCUAUUUUGUUGGUUUUCGGAACCCCGAGGUAAUGAUUAAUAGGGACAGAUGGGGGCAUUCGUAUUGCGACGUUAGAGGUGAAAUUCUUGGAUCGUCGCAAGACGGACAGAAGCGAAAGCAUUUGCCAAAAAUGUUUUCAUUAAUCAAGAACGAAAGUUAGAGGUUCGAAGGCGAUCAGAUACCGCCCUAGUUCUAACCAUAAACGAUGCCAGCUAGCGAUCCGCCGAAGUUCCUCCGAUGACUCGGCGGGCAGCUUCCGGGAAACCAAAGCUUUUGGGUUCCGGGGGAAGUAUGGUUGCAAAGCUGAAACUUAAAGGAAUUGACGGAAGGGCACCACCAGGAGUGGAGCCUGCGGCUUAAUUUGACUCAACACGGGAAACCUCACCAGGCCCAGACACCGGAAGGAUUGACAGAUUGAUAGCUCUUUCUUGAUUCGGUGGGUGGUGGUGCAUGGGCCGUUCUUAGUUGGUGGAGCGAUUUGUCUGGUUAAUUCCGAUAACGAACGAGACUCUAGCCUGCUAAAUAGGCGUACCUUAUGGUAUCGCGAAGGCCCCCGGCUUCGGCCGGUGGGUUUUUACUACCAACGUACAAACAAAUCUUCUUAGAGGGACAGGCGG
rnacentral:rRNA from 1 species